GGUUAAGUGACUUGCCCAAGAUCACAUAGUUAGAAUCUGAAUCCAAAUUUGAAUUCAGGGAGAUGAGCCUAGCUCUGGGCCUGGUACUCCAUCCAUUGCAUCACCUUGCUGCCCUUGAACAACAACAAAAAAUUAGAAGUAAUCUCAGAGGGAAGGCACAGAGAUAAAGGAAUAAACCAGAUGAGGAUUCAUGCAGAUGGUAGAAUUUUAGCUGAGACUUGAAGGAAGCUGAGAGAAGCUGUAGAGCAGAAAUGAGGAGACCCUUCCAGGGUGGGAGGGGGCAGUAAAGCCAGUGAAAAUACACAGAGUUGGAAGGUGGAGGUGGUAUCUUGUUUGAGAAGCAGCAAAAGUCUGUGUCAUUUAAUGACAGUAAUGUAAAGGGGAGUAAGAUGUAAGAAAAGUGGAAAAAUAGAAAUGAACCAAAUUACAAGUUAGUUUGAAAAUCAAAAUGCAGGAUUUUGCAUUUGAUCCUGCUAAUAGGGAGUUGCUGGAGCUUUCCUGAAGGAGAAGAGUGAUGGUGUCAGAGUUGUGUUUUAGGAAGAUCAAUCUGACAGCUGAAUGAAGGGCAGAUGGGAGCAGAGACUUGAGGCAGACCAGUCCAGUUGCAGGCUCUUGGUAAGAAUGUCCACUGAGGGCCCAGAACCUGUCCUGGGAGUUGCUUGCAGUAGAGAUGACAGUCCUGGUAACUGAGGAGGUGAUGCUCAGUGAGCCAGAAUGGGGCCUUGAGCAUAAUGGCCCAGGGACUGGGAGGGCAGUGUCAGUCUGGACAGAAAUAGAGAAGUUUAGGAAAAGGCAGGUUUUCAGAACAGAUCAACACACCUCUUCCAGAAAUAAUGGCAGAGCUGUUUGGAUUGUGAUUCUAGAACUGGAAGGAAGAAGAUGACACCUGCAGGGUUAUAAGACUGCUUGGCUGGACUUCAAAAGAUGACUUGAAAGUACUAUUGCUGAAAUGAUUUGAAUUAUGUUGGAAUCAAUAUCAAUGUGGUCUAACAAUCUUGUUAAG